GGCCUACCAUGGUGGUAACGGGUAACGGGGUGUUAGGGCACGACACCGGAGAGGGAGCCUGAGAAACGGCUACCACAUCCAAGGAAGGCAGCAGGNGCGCAAAUUACCCAAUCCCGACACGGGGAGGUAGUGACAAUAAAUAACAAUACAGGGUUCUUUUGGAUCUUGUAAUUGGAAUGAGUACAAUUUAGAUCUCUUAACGAGGAACAAUUGGAGGGCAAGUCUGGUGCCAGCAGCCGCGGUAAUUCCAGCUCCAAUAGCGUAUAUUAAAGUUGUUGCAGUUAAAAAGCUCGUAGUUGAAUUUCGGGAUCAAUAUAUCGGUCGUGCCUCUGGUACGUACUGGUAUCAUUGAUUUCUCCCUUCUGACGAACCAUGAUUUCAUUUAUUUGGUGUCAUGGGGAGUUAGGACUGUUACUUUGAAAAAAUUAGAGUGUUUAAAGCAGGCAUUAGCUUGAAUACAUUAGCAUGGAAUAAUGAAAUAGGACGUUUGACCCUAUUUUGUUGGUUUCUAGGAUCGACGUAAUGAUUAAUAGGGAUAGUUGGGGGCAUUAGUAUUCAAUUGUCNGAGUGAAAUUCUUGGAUUUAUUGAANACUAACUACUGCGAAAGCNUUUGGCAAGGAUGUUCUCAUUAAUCAANAACNAAAGUUAGGGGAUCGAAGACGAUCAGAUACCGUCGUAGUCUUAACCAUAAACUAUGCCGACUAGGGAUCGGAUGAUGUUAAUUUUAUAAUGACUCAUUCGGCGCCUUACG
rnacentral:rRNA from 1 species